UUGGCUUAUUAGAUUGCCCAUAGCAGUACCCACUCUUCUUCCCUCUUCCACUAACUCCUUUUGUACUCAAGCUGUUUCCCUUCCUCCAGCGACUGGUGAUCUUUUGUUU